GCCAAUAUAGUUUAUUAAAAUAUUACAUUGUGGUUGUAAAGAUAUGUUUUUUUUGGUA
rnacentral:tRNA from 1 species